rnacentral:rRNA from 1 species
AACGAACGCUGGCGGCGUGGUUGAUACAUGCAAGUCGAACGGGACUAAGGGGUUCGCCCCUUUUGUACCGUGGCGGACGGGUGAGUAGCGUAUGGUCAAUCUGCCUUGGAGAUCGGGAUAUACGGCCGAAAGGCCGGGUAAUACCGGAUAAGCCCACGUUACUGCAUGGUGAUGGGGGAAAAGGGUUGGGAUCUUCGGACCUUCCGCUCCAAGAUGAGAUCAUAUCCUAUCAGUUAGUUGGCGGGGUAACGGCCCACCAAGACGAUGACGGGUAGCCGGCCUGAGAGGGUGGACGGCCACACUGGGACUGAGACACGGCCCAGACUCCUACGGGAGGCAGCAGUGCUGAAUUAUUCGCCAAUGCGCGAAAGCGUGACGGUGCGACGCCGCGUGCGGGACGAAGGCCUUCGGGUUGUAAACCGCUGUCAGGGGGUAGAAACCGUGCAGGGUUAAUAGCCUUGCAUCUGAUCCCCCCCAAAGGAAGCACAGGCUAACCUCGUGCCAGCAGCCGCAGUAAUAC